rnacentral:rRNA from 1 species
AUUGAACGCUGGCGGCAGGCCUAACACAUGCAAGUCGAACGAGUGGCGGACGGGUGAGUAAUGUCUGGGAAACUGCCGGAUGGAGGGGGAUAACUACUGGAAACGGUAGCUAAUACCGCAUACCAUCAGAUGUGCCCAGAUGGGAUUAGCUAGUAGGUGGGGUAACGGCUCACCUAGGCGACGAUCCCUAGCUGGUCUGAGAGGAUGACCAGCCACACUGGUACUGAGACACGGUCCAGACUCCUACGGGAGGCAGCCGUAGUGAAUAUUGCACAAUGGGCGCAAGCCUGAUGCAGCCAUGCCGCGUGUAUGAAGAAGGCCUUCUGGUUGUAAAGUACUUUCAGCGGGGAGGCGUUACCCGCAGAGGAAGCACCGGCUAACUCCGUGCCAGCAGCCGCGGGAAUUC